CCCAGAUGAUGCUUACUUGAACCUGAAUUCAUUUGAUAUGGAGGAUAAAUAGAAACUGAUUUAAUGAGACUGAUGG